UGGGGAAUAUUGCACAAUGGGGGAAACCCUGAUGCAGCGACGCCGCGUGAACGAAGAAGGUAUUCGUAUCGUAAAGUUCUGUCCUAUGGGAAGAUAAUGACAGUACCAUAGAAGAAAGCUCCGGCUAAAUACGUGCCAGCAGCCGCGGUAAUACGUAUGGAGCGAGCGUUGUCCGGAAUUAUUGGGCGUAAAGGGUACGCAGGCGGUUUAAUAAGUCGAAUGUUAAAGAUCGGGGCUCAACCCCGCAAAGCAUUGGAAACUGAUAAACUUGAGUAGUGGAGAGGAAAGUGGACUUCCUAGUGUAGUGGUGAAAUACGUAGAUAUUAGGAGGAAUACCAGUAGCGAAGGCGACUUUCUGGACACAAACUGACGCUGAGGUACGAAAGCGUGGGGAGCAAACAGG
rnacentral:rRNA from 1 species